AGUGGCGGUAGGGUAUGUCCCGCAGCGCAGGACGGCGGGAGGAGCGCUCGGGCCGGGCGUGGAGCGACGGCGCGUCGGUCCUUUUGAAGCCUCCAGGACCCCGAGAAAAGCCGAAUUCCUUCUGGGGGGUGCGGGGAGGUGCUCAGUGAUGGGGAGAAGGAAGGCGGAGGGCGGGGAAGGCGCGGAUCCGCACCGCCCUCCGCGGGGCUCCGCGCAGUGCUCGCCAGGAGCCGCCUCCGCUUCCCGAGCAGGGGCUCAAACUGAAAGUAAAUUAAAAAAAAACCGAAACAACCACACAAACCAAAGCAAACGCCAGCAAAGAGCUGCAACAAAACAGUGCCCAACCCAACAGCACAGCGACUGGGGUACCAGGCGGGUUAUCACUGAACUGGGCAAUUCAGAGAAUAAAGCAGCAUUAAUCUCCAGUUUACACAGUGGCCCACUGAAGCCUGAUGAGAGGCAUGCUUUCCAGCUUAAGAAGAAGGAACUUUACAGCAACUUCAGGACAGAGCAUGAUGCAGAUCACUACCCCAUCCUGCUCUGGUGGUCUCCCCUGACUGGAGAGACAGGGAGAUUGGGGCAGUGUGGUGAGGAUGUUUGUUUCUUUACUAUUAACAAGACCUACCAGCACAAUCAGAUGACGAGAGCUUUUUUGUUCUAUGGUACUGACUUCAGUAUAGACAGCCUACCUCUUCCUCGAAAAGACCAUCAUGAUUGGGCCCUUUUCCAUGAAGAGUCACCAAAAAACAACUACAAACUUUUCCAUGAACCAGCUAUCACCUUAUUCAACCACACUGCAACCUUUAGCCGUCAUUCUCACCUACCACUGACCACUCAGUACCUUGAGGACUUAGAGGUCCUCAGGUCCUUGAGACAUAUGAUCCCAGUGCAGACAAAGAACAGCCUGAGGAAGCAACUUGCACCACUUGUCUAUGUGCAGUCUGAUUGCAAUGCUCCUUCUGACCGGGACAGCUAUGUACGUGAGCUGAUGUGCCACAUUGAAGUAGACUCUUAUGGAGAAUGUCUACAUAACAGAGACCUUCCUCAGCAUCUCAGAAAUCCAUCUGCCAUGGAUGAUGGGAACUUCCAUAAAAUACUGGCACAGUACAAGUUCAUUCUUGCUUUUGAAAAUGCUAUCUGUGAAGAUUAUAUCACUGAAAAACUCUGGCGGCCUUUGACGCUGGGAGUGGUACCUGUGUACUUUGGUUCUCCCAGCAUUAUAGACUGGCUUCCCAGCAACAAGAGUGCAGUCUUGGUAUCUAGUUUUUCACACCCUCGAGAGCUGGCGCACUAUAUCAAAACACUGGAUCAAAAUGAUCAAGAAUACGAGGCUUACCUGGAAUGGAAACUGAAAGGAGAUAUUUCCAAUCCAAGGCUGCUUACAGCGAUGAAGGAACGCAAAUGGGGAGUGCGAGACAUCACCCAGGACAAUUACAUUGAUACGUUUGAGUGCAUGGUGUGUAACAGAGUGUGGGACAACAUCAGAAGGGAAGAAAAGGCUGCCUUACUGUAUGUAGGAUUGGAAGUAGACAUGGAAGACUGACUUUGGUAUGUUCAGUGCUCAGCAAGUAUGAGGUGCUAAGCAGUAGAAUCACACUUCUGGAUGUGCCAGAGGCCUGAGCCUCAUCUCCUGUUCUCUAUGGGGCUUGUUUCCCAUGCUGAAGGCCUGGUCUCGCCCAGUGUGGUGAUAAUCAGGUGUCAGGCUGCAGUGAAGCAGCUCAGGUGAGCCACAGAAUGAGAGAAUAUCCUGAGUUGGAAGGGACCACAAGGAUCACCACUCCCUGUGAGGAGCUGCAGGCCACCAUGAGGGCUCCCCUCAGCUCCUCUGCUCUGUGCUGAGCACACCGAGGGACCACAGCCUCCAGUCCUGCCAUCACAAAGCUUUCUUCAGCUCUCUAAGAGCUGCUUCACCUCCUGAGCUUCAGACUCCAAAUUUCUUCUGUUCUCUGAGCUCUGACCACUCAACCAGUUUUUCACAGAUUCUUUUUUUCCCCUGCCUUCAAAAACCUUAUUAGCAUUGAUACCAGACAGCAUUCUUGCUUUGUUUCGUUCCUUUACAAGGGCUGAGUGGGGUGGGGGUGUUAGCACAGGUGGGAGCAGCUCGUGUGAGGUCACUGCACUAAGCAUACAUUAGGGGAACAAUGGAGUAUUUACCUCAGAGAAUGAACAAUAAGCCAACAACUAGGAAAAUAAUUGAAGAAAUGAAACAUAAGGAGGACUCUGAUUGCAUUCAUUUCAAUGCAAGACAGGUUUUAGUCCUAUGCUGUUGGGUGCACAACUGUACAUUGUGAUCUUCAGCAGUCAAAUCUGAGUUUUCCUCCCUUAUUCAGCAUUUUGCUGAAAAACAGAGCCAAACAUUUGCUUCUGGCAGGCUUUAAAGAAAGCCAAGGAUCUUGAUGCCAGUAGUGCUCAUUUGCAAAGUCUGUGAUGCUCUCCUUUUUUUUUUCUUUUUUGUCAGCAGCAUGGUCUCAGCCUAACACAAAGCACAAUGUCAGUUGUGAUGUGCUACUACAGAAAAGGAUGUAACCAGUGCAUAUGCAAGAGGUAAAAGUAGGCAGCAUAGUGCUCCCACAUGUUGCACAGCUCUGUGAAAGCUGUGCAAGAAACAGACUGAGAUUAAAGGUAGGCUCUCUGUAUGUAAUUAAUUGCAAGAGAAGCGUGUUUGAAUUACCCUAAAUGGGAGAAGUUUCUCCAACAGUGGCUAUAGUGGGCCAGGUCAUAUGGAACGCUGUGAAUGCAUGCUGCUGUGUUGUGCUGGCUGACAGUCGUAGUUAAUAGUUUUUAAACCUCUGUUGUUUGCAGACCUUGUUUUUAGUAUUUAUCCUAAAAUAAGGGUGAACGAAUUAAUUAUUGAAAACCAUUUGCUGAGCUCUUGACUGCUUGGCCUUGGAAAAAGCUGGGGUGUGGAGAUAGCAGUUUGGCAUGUGACCAAUGAACUGCCUUAAAAGCAAGCUUGUUUAGUGUAACCACACAUAUUCUGCAGGGAAAAACUUACUUGCAGAGUGCUAAGGUUACAAACUAUGGUAGAAUAACAGUCACCUGUGUAACUCGUAUUUUUAAAAACAGUCUAAUUGCCCUGAAACAUUAUGGGCAGCUGGGCACUACUGGGCUCAUGAAACCCCACCCAUUUUGCAUCUCCUGUUGCAUACCCAACCCACACACAGACACAUGCAGACAGAGGCACAAACACAUACACACACAAAUCAUUUGCCUUCUCACCUGUCCCUUCAGAUGCUGUCCAUUCUGAACCAGAAGUGAGGUGAGAGCAUGGGGACAGCGCCUCCACAGUAGACUUAGCCAGAGGCUGUAUCCCCUGUCCAGGAGCAGAGGAAACAUUUGACUUCUCUCACCUAUGGGGUAUUAGACUUGCCAGUCUGGAAGUCUUUCAUACACAGCAAGCCGUUUUAAACAGAAAUAGGCAUUGUGUUGCCUCCUACAGGCUCCAUGCAGGAGAGAACAACCUGCUGGGUAAGAAGGCUCAGGGAACCGAUACAUACUACAGAACGCAUGUUGGGAGGCCUAAGUGAAGCCAGCUCUGCUUAAUGCAGCCAGUCCUGACUUUGCUGCAUGCUCCAGGACUGCUUGGCAGCUAUGUUUACUCCAUUGUGAUGCUGUUUUGUCCCUGGAGAGAAGCUAGGGCUUUGUGUCCCACUGGUGUGUGAGGUGUCAUUGGACCUCUGCUUGAUACUGGCUGCUGCAGUCCUCUGGGAAGGCAGUGUCUGAGGCAGCCUAAAGUGCAGUACCUGUAACCUGGAGAUGUGACCAAAAAUUCACUGGUAAUAAUCCAGUGAGCCUUCCAGGCUCAUGAUACCUGUGAGAUGAUAGCUGUAUUAUUUUAACUGGCAACCUGAGAGUUUUGGUUUGUGAAGUUUCCGAUUUCAGGUAUUUAUUCACCAGUAUACCCUUUUUUUUCUGUGUGUGAGUAGGGAAAUGAUCUCAUACUGCACCCCUGUUCCAACAACUGGAGCUUUGAGAGAGACCUACAAACUUUACAGUGAGACCUGUGAUUAAAACUGAGAGACUUGGCAGCCACAGCUUGGCUCCCAAGGAAUAGCAGAUUCUGUAUGGAUCCUUUAUCCCUGGGAUCGUGUGUGCCUUCUGUAACUAUGCUGAAAACUCUCAAUUUGAAACUCUCACUUUUUCUGUGGAGCGUGAAUUAGUAAUGUGCUAAAAUGUGCUGCUAACAGUUGUUUGCAUUUAAAGCGAUUACUCACUGUUCCUGACUGAUGCAUUUGGUCAUUUGCCAUUUUCCCCAAGUCAGCAAAAAUCCAUCCUUUCUCUCUGUGCUGUGUAUUUUGUGCAAAGACCACAGAAACCCAAGAUGAUCCACUCUAGGAGGUGGGAGCAGUAUUUAAAAAAAAUAGCUAAUAAUGGAAGUAAUUUCAAACUCUAAUCAGAAAAGUCCCCUUCAUUGCCUAGAAAGACUUAACCUUAGAACUCAUCUGUAUGAGAGGACAAACUUGGACUGUCUGGCCUAAUGCCUAGAGCCAAAGCCCACAACCAAGAGAUGACCAGGAAUCUAGACCAUAGGCAACAGUCAUAGGGACAGUAUCUUUUAAGAUACUCCAGUGCAAGCAACAUCCAGGGCAAGCAAUAUUAAGACUUGCUCCUGUUUCAGCAUGGUUGGCCUGUCCCAGAAGGGAAUGAUUACCCCGAGAUAGGCAGAGCAGCUUUGUAUGCUGGUUCCUGCUGGGAAAAGACAUUCCCCAGAGGUAGCCUCUCUGCCAUGACUGUCAGCAGUACUUUGGAAGGAAAUCAGGAUUGCGUUUUAGGGUCUAUAUGCUAGAAGCAGAGAAGAAAAUGGCUGAGAACCAUAGAAUGUCUUGGAUUGGAAGAGACAUAAAAGAUCACAUAGUUCCAGCAGCACUGAGAUAAACAUUCUGACAAAUACACAAAAUCCUCUUCAAAACAACCUUGAGCCUGUUCUUGGGGUUGGCUAAGUUCAUUAGACAUGUGAGUGUGAAUCUGGCUUUUGGGAGGGGCUCUCAGGUGCAUAAGGCAUCAGGAAGAGAUAAUCAUGCUCAGGAGCCAGCCUUAGCUGUGUCUGCCACCCCUAUGACAUUGUUUGAAUACCAAGACCCGUUAUGAGGGGAAUCCCACUACUCUAGAGGCCUGAAACUGAGCUAGAGAUGCAAGUGAGGGAAAGCAAGGAGCUGCCGUGUAUAGUCUAACUGAAGUCAGUGUUACCCUGUUAACAUGCUGGCACAGCCCAUCUGCUGGUACUUUUCCAUACAGCUCAUGAUUGCUACAAGGGAAAAUGGACCUCUUGUAUCCUGUGAAAGAAACAAACAGAUCCAUACCCUUGAAAAAGAGCUUGUCUUUCUGGGAGCCUGCCCAGCUCAGAACUGAAGGAAGGUGAUCAUUUGCUGUUAUUAUGGUAGUUUUAUCUGCCAUUGAGACGUCUGAAUACUCCGCCACUUUCAAAAUCCACCUCUGAUUCCAAUACCUUAAAUUUCUGCAUUUGAUCUUUUGUUGCUGGUUUAGAAAUUUUUUCUGCUUAUCCCACCCAUGUCCCAUGUAUCACAAGGUCAAAGGUACUGUGGUGUUUCCUUAGAGGGAGCAGUUAACAGUGUGGAGACAAAUCUCAUCACUAAGAUGUUGAUUUCUCCUUUGUGUCUCUUGCUUCUGGCUCUGCCUAGAAGCACCUAGGACUGUCACAGCACAACAUGGGUUUUGUAGGAAUGUACAUCCCAUCGGAAUGUAAGUGUUGGGUCUACUGAGGGAAGAACAGGAGAACUGGAAGCAAGUUCCAGGCUCUUAAAGGUGAGGAAAGCAGAAAUUCCUAAAUAUGAGAUAUGGGUUCUAUCCACUGUUCCCCCACAGAAAUAGGGGAGACAGUAAGUAGCCAAAAUACAGUGCAGGGCAUCAACAUUCCCUUGUCCCAAACAGCAGCAGGGCUACUGAAGUCGGCCCACAUACUUGUUAGCAGAUGGGAGAGCAUAACCUUGAGAGAUGACAGGACUGACUCAGCCCUGAGGAUGCAUUUCAUGGUCAAUACAUCCUGUGUCGAUUAGCUUGAAUUCACAUCCAUGAUGCCUCAGUCAACCACAGCCUCACAACCGACAUCAAUA